UCUGUGGGGUGACACGGUCAGGGCGCGAGCGGGAGCAGUGCCCGCCGCCGCCGCUUUAAGUACGGGGCGGGCGGGACGGGAGGGACCCGGCCGGGGGCCGCCCCGGGCAGCGGCGCGGCUCAGCACCGGCAGCGAACGAGCCUCCCCGGGCCGCCUGGAGCGCCCCGGCCCCGCUCCGGCCCCGCUGCGGCCCGCCCUCCCUGCCGGGCCGCCGGACACGGCGCGGGCCGGCGCAGCACCCCCUCCCUCACGGCCACCCCGCGCCAAGGAAAGCGGCUCAGGGCCUGUCUAUCAGCUGCGGCUCCAGUCGGGAGAGUGUUGUAAGAACGUUCUCCCUGCUGGCAGAGCCCGCAGAAAGGUGCCGGCAAGCACAGACUGACGGCGUGCAGGGACCGGGGCGCCGCCUCGGCCCCUUUCGGGAGCUGGCCUCUCGGGAGGUGCUGGUGACGCCGAGGGAGGAUCGUCCCUCGCUCAUUCACACCGUGGUGAGGACGCACUGAGCUCCUUCAGGGAAAUGAAGAGUUAAAACCACAGUGGGGAUCUCCCCAAAACAAAGGGUAAUUGGCCAUCUCUCACAGAAUAGAAGACUGAAAGAGCCCAUGAAGAUCACAGAACCUGAUGGCAACAAAGACCCAACGUGCGCUUCCAUGGGCAGCGGCGGAGGAGCGUAGGACUCGGCCUGGAUUUCCCCAGGAGAUAGAGCUGGAAGAUACUAGAGAAGCCAAGAAUACCAGCUUAUGUUUACUUUGAUGGGCAAAGUUGCUGCAGGGUCAAGAGGAAAGAAGAGAUUGGCAGGAAAAGAGAAAAUCCACCUUGAACAAAGUGUCUGCAAUAAUUGGCAAAUGUUGCAAAAAUGAGCUGAUAAACAAGCAAAAGUUCUUUGGCAGGCUGAGACUGCACAGGAGAUUCGGGUAAUUGGAAUCUGCCUGGGGAAGGGGGGCCAUCAUCAUCCUAAAGUUCUUCUGAGGACUCCUAAAAGACUCAGCUCUAAAUUCCAGAGCUUUCUUGCUCCUAACCCUGCGAGAAGUCAUACUUUAAUGAGUCUGCAGCAGAGCAGCAAUCUCUGGAUGCCUGAUUGCAGCUGACAGAUUUAAUGGAGACUAAAUUGCCAGACAGGCUAACACAUUCUGCUUGCUUACCUGGCACUGGAGGACAAAGUGACACAUGGUGCCAGGCAGGGUGUGUGUGCCACCAGUGCAGUGGUGGGAGCAGUGUCUGUGCCCAGAACUGGCAUGCCCUGCAUCCUGCGCCCUGCUCAGAAGGAGCUCAGCAGGGGGAGGCACCAUCCUGCCCAUGGGACUGCAGCACCCCGACAACAGAGACAUCAAAGCACAGCAUCCUCUGGGAAAAGGAGAGAUAAAGGGAGAAGAAAAUGUUCCAGAAGCACCGACAAGCAGGAGUUGUGUUUAGCCCCUUUUGGAACAAUAAUCUCCCCGAAGGUGUGCUGAGCACUCUAGCAAGGCACAACGGGAGCAGCUGGGGCUCUGUGCACAGCAUAAUCUGAUCAUGCUCUGUUUGGGUAAGAAACACAGCUUCAUGCUUCUCACCUUCUAGGAAAGAGAUUUAUUAUGAAAAUCAGGUCCCUGCCUCAGAGCACGUAAAAAACAGUUGGCUUCAUAACCUUGGGGAAAAAAGAUAAAUAAAGAAAUCCCGUGAGACACGUGUGAGAACUGAGUAAGUAUUAAAACAUAUGUUGGAACAUAUUGAUCCCUGAAAGCCUCCUGCAACAGACAUGAAUCUUUUUCAUUUCCAGCCCCACUGAAAGUUUAAUGAGGAUGGUGUGUGCCACUCACCUGGAUCAAUCAUUUAUGCAAAUUCCUGCCAAGCCCCACCACAGGCCCUGUCUCAACCCAGCAAAGAAGACCAUGCUGUGUUUCAGCUGUGUGAUAUCAAACCUCUGCAGGGAGCACAGCACAGCCCUGGCCAGGCAUCCUAUCUCAGGCUGCAGGGGCUGCCACCUUCGUCAGGUCAGAGGGACGUCCAAGGACCUACGAUCUAUCCUGGGAUCAGCAUUCCUCCUGCUAGUUCUUGUCCAUGGUAGUGUCCCAGCGACACCUGGCUUGGGUGAGCAGAGUGCCUGACAUGGACCCUUUCAUUCCUAUUUCAGGUACACCAGAUUUUUCCUUUUUGCCUCUCGAAGUGUAUGUGUAAUAAAUAUAGCACAGGCCUAGGAGAAUGAAAAGAUGAAUCACAGCUAUGAAAAUACUUGACUGUAUUUUAAGCAGGACUCCCAACAGGUACAAACAUAACCAUCUACUGCUGACGCGCUUCAGAGGCCUCAAAAGACCAUUGAGUUACUGUUAAUUAUUCUUAAAAUAAAUUAUUACUAUGCAGCAUUAAUUCAGAAGAAACUGUAAGUUCCAUGCUAUUUUCUACAGCUUGUUUUCACAGUGAAUUAAUGGGAGUUAAUUUAGCAGUUCACAACAAACAGGACCACUGCAAGAAUACAAACAAGGUGUUGCUUCCUGAAUUCUUCCUCCCUCUUGUUUGUGCUCCUCUUUGACUUUACUAGAUGUAGUACAAAAGGUCUUAGUCUGGCAGAGAGCAAAUUUGCUGGAAAGGCAGAAACUGGGAAAAAAUACUGCAUGAUUUUCUCCUCUUGUGGAUAUUAACAGUUUGGCACAGAUACAUUGCUCUCACAGUGGAAAGGAAUGGUAAAAAAUUGGCUCUAAUUCUUUGCAGUAUGUUAAUAUUAGUAUCUGUGAACAGUGUUGGUGUUGUCAUGUCUGUGUAGCGUGUCCUUUGUCCAAGACCGAUCCCAGUUUUCUGGAUCAAGAACCAUUUCAGCCUACAGGUGGCAUUUGACUGUCAAUCACUUUCUCUAAAAAUGCAAGAGAUUUUAGUCCUCACUGAGAUGGAAAACUAAAAUAAGCAAUUUGGAAAGCA